GACGUAGGGCGCGAGCGUUGUCCGGAUUUAUUGGGCGUAAAGGGCUCGUAGGCGGUUUGUCGCGUCGGGAGUGAAAACACCGGGCUUAACUCGGUGCUUGCUUUCGAUACGGGCAGACUAGAGGUAUGCAGGGGAGAACGGAAUUCCUGGUGUAGCGGUGAAAUGCGCAGAUAUCAGGAGGAACACCGGUGGCGAAGGCGGUUCUCUGGGCAUUACCUGACGCUGAGGAGCGAAAGUGUGGGGAGCGAACAGG
rnacentral:rRNA from 1 species